rnacentral:rRNA from 1 species
GACGAACGCUGGCGGCGUGCUUAACACAUGCAAGUCGAACGGAAAGACCCUGAUUUUGUGCGUUUCUCGAGUGGCGAACGCGUGAGUAACACGUGAGUAACCUGCCCCUGUCUUUGUGAUAACUUCAGGAAACUGGGGCUAAUAUCGGAUAGGAUCUCUUGCUGCGUGGUGGGCGAUGGAAAGUUUCGGCGGUUGUGGCUGUAUUGGCUGGUUAUGCGCUUCAUGGGGGGGUAGUGGCUUACCACGGUUAUGACGGGUAGCCGGCCUGAGAGGGUGACCGGCCACAUUGGGACUGAGAGACGGCCCAGUCUCGAAUGGGAGGCAGCAGUGGGGAGUAUUGCACAAUGGGCGGGAGCCUGAUGCGACAACGCCGCGUGCGGGAUGAUGGCCUUCUGGUUGUAAACAGCUUUCGCCUGUGACGAGGCGUGAGUGACGGUAAUGGGUAAAGAAGCAACGGCUAACUACGUG